rnacentral:rRNA from 1 species
CAACAGGGAUUGCCCCAGUAAUGGCGAAUGAAGCGGCAAGAGCCCAAAUUUGAAAUCGGGCAACCGAGUUGUAAUUUGGAGACGGGACACUAGAGAGGAGGAAGGCGAUUAAGUGCCUUGGAACAGGCUGCCGUAGAGGGUGAGAGCCCCGUGAAUCGCUGGAGACCGAUCAAUUAGUGCCCGCCGAAGAGUCGAGUUGUUUGGGAAUGCAGCUCUAAGUGGGUGGUAUAUUCCAUCUAAGGCUAAAUAUUAGCGAGAGACCGAUAGCAAACAAGUACAGUGAUGGAAAGAUGAAAAGAACUUUGGAAAGAGAGUGAAAUAGUACGUGAAAUUGUUGAAAGGGAAGGGUAUUUGAUCCGACAUGGUGUUUAGCAGCGGCCCGUUCCUCGUGGAUGGGUGCACCUGGUUUACACUGGGCCAGCAUCGGUUCUGGGAGCCAUAUACGGGGUUCGUGAAUGUGGCCCUUCGAUUCUGUCGGAGGGUGUUAUAGCGCGGACAUCUUGUGGCUAGCCGGGACCGGGGACUGCGGUGACUUGUCACCAAGGAUGCUGGCAGAACGAGCAAAUACCACCCGUCUUGA